rnacentral:rRNA from 1 species
UGAACGCUGGCGGUAUGCCUAACACAUUCAAGUCGUACGAGAGUUUUUAACUCUAGUGGCGGACGGGUGAGUAACACGUGAGAAUUUGCCUUUAGGAGGGGGAUAACAAUUGGAAACGACUGCUAAUACCCCAUAUGCUUUCGAGUGAAAUGGAUUUAUAUAUAUAUCCGCCUAAAGAGAAGCUCGCGGCUGAUUAGCUUGUUGGUAAGGUAAGAGCUUACCAAGGCGACGAUCAGUAUCUGGUUUGAGAGGACGAUCAGACACACUGGAACUGAGACACGGUCCAGACUCCUACGGGAGGCAGCAGUGGGGAAUUUUCCGCAAUGGGCGAAAGCCUGACGGAGCAAUACCGCGUGAGGGAAGACUGCCUAUGGGUUGUAAACCUCUUUUUUCAGGGAGGAAUAAAAUGACGUGUACCUGAAGAAUAAGCAUCGGCUAACUCC